AUUUUGUUGAAGAUCUGUGCAUACCUGAGGUCUUUUGAUGAGUACCUAUUACCUGGGGAUAAAGAAAUGACGCUGUUGAAAUAGCACUUCUAUGCCUGGAAACCAAAGAAUUGCAUCUUUUCAAAAGCAUACAGGACCAUUUUUC